rnacentral:rRNA from 1 species
AUUGAACGCUGGCGGCAGGCCUAACACAUGCAAGUCGAGCGGAUGAAGGGAGCUUGCUCCUGGAUUCAGCGGCGGACGGGUGAGUAAUGCCUAGGAAUCUGCCUGGUAGUGGGGGAUAACGUCCGGAAACGGGCGCUAAUACCGCAUACGUCCUGAGGGAGGAAGUGGGGGAUCUUCGGACCUCACGCUAUCAGAUGAGCCUAGGUCGGAUUAGCUAGUUGGUGGGGUAAAGGCCUACCAAGGCGACGAUCCGUAACUGGUCUGAGAGGAUGAUCAGUCACACUGGAACUGAGACACGGUCCAGUCUCCUACGGGAGGCAGCAGUGGGGAAUAUUGGACAAUGGGCGAAAGCCUGAUCCAGCCAUGCCGCGUGUGUGAAGAAGGUCUUCGGAUUGUAAAGCACUUUAAGUUGGGAGGAAGGGCAGUAAGUUAAUACCUUGCUGUUUUGACGUUACCAACAGAAUAAGCACCGGCUAACUUCGUG